ensembl:miRNA MIR4426 microRNA 4426
AGUUGGAAGAUGGACGUACUUUGUCUGACUACAAUAUUCAAAAGGAGUCUACUCUUCAUCUUG